rnacentral:lncRNA from 1 species
AGGUAGUCGUGAAUUGCCUGAUGUGGAUUCUAGGACGGAACUCCAGUUCUCCACAAAAGCAUCAAUUAUGUUUCUGCUUUGGAGCUUCUGGCAAGCUGUUGAAGGAGGUAUCUAUAACUACCGUGAUUCUGGACCCUACGAAGAGACGUUCAUGAUGCUUCACACAUUCCACAGUUCUUCACAGCCUGUGAACCGUCAUGCUACUAAAAGAAUGUCCACAUGAAUACUGUUGGGGGAAGUAACCACGUGAAGACUUUAGAAAAAGACCCCCUUGGGCCCAGG